CCAGACAGAUAGGCUUUGAUCCUACGAAAAAUUAAUUAACAGCUAACUACCCAAACCAGCGGGCUUCCAUCUG
rnacentral:tRNA from 1 species